UACAGAGGUCUCAAGCGUUGUUCGGAUUCAUUGGGCGUAAAGGGUGCGUAGGCGGCGCGGUAAGUCGGGUGUGAAAUCUCGGAGCUUAACUCCGAAACUGCAUUCGAUACUGCCGUGCUUGAGGACUGGAGAGGAGACUGGAAUUUACGGUGUAGCGGUGAAAUGCGUAGAUAUCAGGAAGAACACCCGUGGCGAAGGCGGCUCUCUGGGACGUGACUGACGCUGAGACGCGAAAGCGUGGGGAGCAAACAGG
rnacentral:rRNA from 1 species